GAAACAGUGAAAUAGUGGAGCACAUAGUUAGCAUUGACGACAUGGAGAAGCUAAUGAACCCAAUGCUAAAUCAUUCAGAUCCUGCAAACCAACUAAUCUUACAGGAAAGUAAUGUUGGCUUCAGUUUAUUGAAUGCUUCCUUGGUAAAAAUGCCCAUAUUCAAAGAAAAACAAUGGAUUUUAAUCAUUGCUAACUUCA